CCUACGGGUGGCAGCAGUGAGGAAUAUUGGUCAAUGGACGAGAGUCUGAACCAGCCAAGUAGCGUGAAGGAUGACUGCCCUAUGGGUUGUAAACUUCUUUUAUAUGGGAAUAAAACGUUCCACGUGUGGGAUUUUGUAUGUACAAUAUGAAUAAGGAUCGGCUAACUCCGUGCCAGCAGCCGCGGUAAUACGGAGGAUCCGAGCGUUAUCCGGAUUUAUUGGGUUUAACGGGAGCGUAGGUGGGUUGUUAAGUCAGUUGUGAAAGUUUGCGGCUCAACCGUAAAAUUGCAGUUGAAACUGGCAGUCUUGAGUACAGUAGAGGUGGGCGGAAUUCGUGGUGUAGCGGUGAAAUGCUUAGAUAUCACGAAGAACUCCGAUUGCGAAGGCAGUUCACUGAACUGCAACUGACACUGAGGCUCGAAAGUGUGGGUAUCAAACAGGAUUAGAUACCCGAGUAGUC
rnacentral:rRNA from 1 species